AAUUCCUGCAUUGAAAAAAACUAAGCCAUUUCAAGGAUACCACAAAUACAAAAUGUGUUGAACAGAAAUGUAAGCCGAUAGAGGAACAGAGUAAAACAGACCAAACCAACCACAAAAAUAAAAUGUGUUGCAUAAUACAAAUUGUCCCAUUGCCCACACAGCUCGCUUCACCCUCAAACCAUCGCAUCGCAUCCCAUAAUUAAAGAGCCUACUACCUCAAACCAACAAACGGCCCAACCCAUGAUUUCAAGUUGGAGGAAUCUCUUUACAAGAAGGGGUCCCAGCUAUACGAAAUAGUACCUAUAGAAUAACUGCAAAGAAAAAAACUAUGGAAAACAUCUCACAAGGGACCGUAACUCUCUAGAAUCCCUCCUCUCAAUACCCCUAAAAACCCGAUUGUUCAAGAUUAAAGCUAAAUAGGGAGUGUUCAAUUCUAGCCACCUACCUAAAUCUAAUAUCCAAUAAAUUUCUUUGACGCUAAAAUGUCGUAGAAUCAAGAGGUUUGUCCUGUGCAAGCUAGCUCGAACACUUACAAAUUUCGAACAAAAAUGGAACGUCUCAAGCUAAAAGACAGAAAAUUUUACUGCCAUCUAAGCUUUUUUCUUACAUCUGUUGUACAUUUUGGAAGUAAUAAGAAAUGAUAUGAUAUAGUGUUAGACAUGUCUCGAAAAGUUGAAAAACAUGAAAAGAAUUCUACCUUUUUCCGUGAGAUCUAUUUAUAAUUGUAGAAACAUUAUUAAAACAUAAGAAUUGGAUCAUCUUUUAAUCCUUUUUCCUUAUACCAUGAGGAGUUCGGUAUCUCUCAUAUAAAUGUGUUCAAAUGGAAAUAUGGUUCAAAUGCUUUGCAUCCAUCCUUUAAAGCAAAAGGAAAAGAUUCUAUUGGUCAAUGCUAUUAAACCAAACACUAAAGAAUAUAUGGAUGGAAAGAAAUGAUAGAUUUUCUUUUUCCCACAAAGCCAAGAAAUAGGUAGUGGGAGUAGGAGGAAUGGGCAAAAUUCAACGAUUCUCUUGGAUAUUAAGGCAAACAAAGAGUCUUUGUAUCUAUCUUUUUUUUUUUUUUUUUCCUCUUCUCUAAGUUUAACUAUUGCAGACUUGAAAGAUCCAACCAUCAACCAAGGAUAGUCAUUAAUUCCGAAUCCCCUAAGCUAUACUCGGGUUAUGAAGAGUCUUGUAUUUGUACACCAUCCAAUAUCGACGCGCAAAUCAGGGAAGAAAGUUUGAGUACAAAUGCAGACUCAAAUCCUGUGCCACAUCAGUUAAGUUUGAUACAAGACGUUUUGACGGAUGCAAAAGAUCUCUGCUAAAUAUAAUUAUAUCAAUUGAAGAAGAUUUGUAAAAGUUUAAGGAUCAGAACGGAAGAUUUGGGAAUAUAAGAAUUAAAAUGGAAUAAAUAUACACGAGAUUCCUGCAACAAAACUUGCAAUAGUAGUCAAAGUGGGAAUUCAGGACAAACAUAUAUCAUCAUUGCUAAUAAGCAAAAAAUGGUAGGGGGGCCCUUAUGCAAUGAACUUCAGAAAAUGCUACAUAAGUUUCAAAAUCAUUCUCUUAGCAUUAUGCAAUAUAACUUCUAAAAACUCAGCACUUAACACCUCGAUGUAUGUUUUCUCUUCCAAGUCAUUUGGAAUUCUACGACAAAAUCUGAACAUAUUUGAAAAGGAGAGAGUUCUAAGUAAAACGGAGCAGUUCAAAAAGAGCAGCAUUACCUUCUGUGGAGAUGGAAAGAUUGUUGCAAAAGCACCUGAUGCGGAAGACAAUGGCGCCUCCUUGACAUCAAAAAGAUCAGCAACGAAAGAGGAGGCUUGAUACCCUUUAGACUUUCCCUCCAUUUUUUCUCAAUCUUUCCUUCUUACCAAACAAAAUUGCUCUCCUUUUCCACCACUCCCUAUUGAGAGUAAGAAAUGAAAGCAAGAAAAUAUGCUUGUAAAGAUCUACUGAAUCAGCUAAUCUGCUAUGAAUGAGAUAUGUCUAAAUUGACUCCUCAA